rnacentral:rRNA from 1 species
GACGAACGCUGGCGGCGUGCCUAAUACAUGCAAGUCGAGCGGACGAACCGUAAGCUUUCGUUCGUUUCGUUAGCGGCGGACGGGUGAGUAACACGUGGGCAACCUGCCCUGUAGACGGGGAGAACGACGAAAAAUCGGUGCUAAUACCGCAUAACACGACAUGUCUCAUAAAGCAUCGUUGAAACACAGCUCACGCUGUUGCUACAGGCUGGGUCCGCGUCGCAUUAGCUAGUUGGUGAGGUAACGGCACACCAAGGCGACGAUGCGUAGCCGGCCUGAGAGGGUGAUCGGCCACACUGGAACUGAGACACGGUCCAGACUCCUACGGGAGGCAGCAGUGAGGAAUCUUCCACAAUGGACGAAAGUCUGACGGAGCAAUGCCGCGUGGGUGAAGAAGGCCUUCGGGUUGUAAAGCUCUGUUGUUAGGGAAGAAAAGGUAAAGCAGUAAAUGGCGUUAUCGUGACGGUACCUAAAGAGAAAGCCACGGCUAACUACGUG